GCCAGGCAUGGUGGCGCGUACCUGUAAUCCCAGCUACUUGGGAGGCUGAGGCAGGAGAAUUGCUUGAACCCAGGAGGUGGAGGUUGCAGUGAGCCGAGAUCGCACCACUGCACUCCAGCCUGGGUGACAGAGCGAGACUCUGUCUCAA
ensembl:misc_RNA Metazoa_SRP Metazoan signal recognition particle RNA